rnacentral:lncRNA from 1 species
GGAAGAAGUUUUAUGCUUGUUCGAGCUUAAACAUGCUUCCUUUAACAUUCAGAGCAAUUUUCAAUUUGCUCUUUUUUCUUUUAUUUUUUCUGUAUACAUGCUAAGUUUUAUCGUAUAGGAUUUUGUUUUACGCUUGUACUUGUAUGCCCUAAAAUUUUUCAUAUUUGGUUGAUACAAGUGUAGUUAGUUUAACUGAUGCAUUUGUGGAUUGCGACCUAGUUCAUGGGGGAAGAAUUAAGAUUUCAGCUUCCACCAUUGGCAGCGGAAAGCAAAGAAAUGGUUUUGGCAUUUUUCUACUUACUUGUCAAAGGCAAAUUGGCUACUAGUAGGGUUUUGAAAUCCCUCACCGACCUGUUGAC